rnacentral:rRNA from 1 species
CCUACGGGUGGCAGCAGUGAGGAAUAUUGGUCAAUGGUCGGAAGACUGAACCAGCCAAGCCGCGUGAGGGAGGAAGGUGCAGAGCGUCGUAGACCUCUUUUGCCGGGGGACAAAAAGCGGGACUCGUCCCGUCAUGAGGGUACCUGGAGAAAAAGCAUCGGCUAACUCCGUGCCAGCAGCCGCGGUAAUACGGAGGAUGCGAGCGUUAUCCGGUUUUAUUGGGUUAAAGGGGUGCGCCGGCGGGCUUUUAAGCCGGCGGUGAAAGCCCGGGGCUCAACCCCGCCGAGCCGUUGAAACUGGGGGGCUUGAGUGCGGUGGAGGCAUGCGGAAUGCGCGGUGUAGCGGUGAAAUGCAUAGAGAUCGCGAAGAACCCCGAUUGCGAAGGCAGCGUGCCGGGUCGCCACUGACGCUGAGGCACGAAAGCGCGGGUAUCGAACAGGAUUAGAUACCCUUGUAGUC